CAAACUCUGCUCAAGGACAAAUGACCAAAUACAGAAGUGACAAGUGUGUACAGAGACCAGGGUGGCUGAAGGUGGAGUUUGGUAGAGACUGACUUUUCCUAUCAGUCAGGUAGCACCGGGCAUGGACCCACCCCAGAGGAUGCUGGGAAACGGAUCGCCAGGAUCAAAGGGAAGGUGGAACACGGCUGAACGAGGGAUCUCCGAGCUUAGAGGCUCAUUAGGAAUAUUACAAAGGACUCACUUUUUGGAUUCAUUAUUCUCGGGAUCCUUGGGGGAGGAGCCGGACGAGAGGGACGUCUGGGCUUCUCUGCUUAGGCUGCUGCCCCCGAGACCCAAGGUUGGAUAAGUGGAAAAAGAUGGAUGAAUGGAGUUUUCAUUGAAGGUACACACACCAGCUGUGUUCUUGCCCGACGCAUCCUUGGAAGAACGAACCCGGCAUCGUUAUGCCGCACAGUCUUCACAUGAGGAUCCCAGCAUCAACGAUAGGUUCUUCGGCGUCAGGCAGCAACGAGGACGUCUUCGACGAAGGAACGUGGAUGGUGCUUCGAGAGAUGGAGGCUGAAACUUUCCACUGCGCACUGGGUGAUGACAUGAUGUGGGGCCCGGAUGGUGUCCUGGUCCCUAUCGAUUCCACCUGGUCCGGGGAGUUCCCCUCCCAAGACGCUCACAAAGGAAGGCUUCGUCUUGCGACAGUGACGCUUUUACUCCACAUCUUCCUCCUGUUGAACACACCCAGCAACAUGCAGCAAAAUAUUCCCCUCCACAAUUGUUUGGUGAUCCCAAAGCAGAACUUUGCAAAGUGUUUCACAGACGGGGUUAACAGUAAGCUAGAGACCGGUGCGGAUGAGGUCAUUUCUACCCGUUCACGAGUAUCUGCACUAGCAUUGUUAAUUUACUCUGGGCACUCCUUUUGUUUCGACUCAGUUCCGUAAAUUCGCCAAAAUGUCAGCGUGGAGUUGUUGGGUCUGUUUAGCAGAUUGGAGAGCUCGGGUCCAUGACGAUGACUUCUGUUUUGUUUGAUUCGCCGUUUUACUGCCUUGUUACAGACAUCCUUUGGACACA